AUUGAACGCUGGCGGCAGGCCUAACACAUGCAAGUCGAACGGUAACAGAAAGAAGCUUGCUUCUUUGCUGACGAGUGGCGGACGGGUGAGUAAUACUUAGGAAUAUGCCUUUUGGCGGGGGAUAACCAUUGGAAACGAUGGCUAAUACCGCAUAACGUCUACGGACCAAAGGGGGCUCCGGCUCCCGCCAAGAGAGUAGCCUAAGCGAGAUUAGCUAGUUGGUGAGGUAAGAGCUCACCAAGGCGACGAUCUCUAGCUGUUCUGAGAGGAAGAUCAGCCACACUGGGACUGAGACACGGCCCAGACUCCUACGGGAGGCAGCAGUGGGGAAUAUUGCACAAUGGGGGAAACCCUGAUGCAGCCAUGCCGCGUGUGUGAAGAAGGCCUUCGGGUUGUAAAGCACUUUCAGUUGUGAGGAAAGGUUGGUAGUUAAUACCUGCCAGCUGUGACGUUAACAACAGAAGAAGCACCGGCUAACUCCGUGCCAGCAGCCGCGGUAAUACGGAGGGUGCGAGCGUUAAUCGGAAUUACUGGGCGUAAAGCGCACGCAGGCGGUUUGUUAAGCUAGAUGUGAAAGCCCCGGGCUCAACCUGGGACGGUCAUUUAGAACUGGCAGACUAGAGUCUUGGAGAGGGGAGUGGAAUUCCAGGUGUAGCGGUGAAAUGCGUAGAGAUCUGGAGGAACAUCAGUGGCGAAGGCGACUCCCUGGCCAAAGACUGACGCUCAUGUGCGAAAGUGUGGGUAGCGAACAGGAUUAGAUACCCUGGUAGUCCACACCGUAAACGCUGUCUACUAGCUGUUUGUGGAUUUAAUCCGUGAGUAGCGAAGCUAACGCGCUAAGUAGACCGCCUGGGGAGUACGGCCGCAAGGUUAAAACUCAAAUGAAUUGACGGGGGCCCGCACAAGCGGUGGAGCAUGUGGUUUAAUUCGAUGCAACGCGAAGAACCUUACCUACACUUGACAUACAGAGAACU
rnacentral:rRNA from 1 species